rnacentral:tRNA from 1 species
GUUUCCUUGGUACAGUGGUAGCAUGCUUUCUUAGGGUGACACACACGUCCAAGAUGGAAGAGGUCGUGGGUUCGAUUCCCACAGGAAACC